CGAGAAAGUAGAUCGAAAUUCUCAAUAAAAUAACUGGAGAAAAAUUUAUACGUUUGAUGAUGUAUUUAAACAUUUAGGGUUCAAUUAGGUACUACAUUUUAGAUAUAUUUCCAAUAACAUCCUGCAAGUUGAUUUCCCAUACAUACAUUACCCUUUUAAGUAGAAAAAUAUUUUAUAAUAGAAAAUAGCACUUAAACUCUUAUGUACCAACAUUUCAUACCAUAUAGGUACUCGUCGACAGAAAUUACGUUUUAGAUAGAGUUAGAGUAAAGUAUUCCAUUUUAGUUUUUUAUUACAAAACUUCCGACCCCUGAAUCGUAUAACGACCGAUUCUAUUGAUAGACUAUAUGAAAUGUUUUAUACGAUAAUGUUCAAAUGAAAGUCAAUAAUAAUAUUUUAUGUACACAUUUAUUACAAUCUGUAUACAAAAUGUACACAAUGUAUAAACAGGUCACAGUUAUUUUACAUCUAUAUACACGUUAAAAGAUACACUUUACUGCCGCGUGCACAUUACCACUGAAAGGAAUGUUUGGAUAAGAAUAGACAAAUAUACUGUUUGGACAUUAUUACAGUAUGGAUACUAAGACGGGCUUAGAGAUUUUGCAUGACGUUCUUAUUAAUUUAACCUGUACAAAAUGAAAUAUUUUCUCAAUCCCUCAUUUUUUAUUUUCAAAAUGAUAAUAAUAAAAAGUAAAUUUCAUUAACUAACAGAAAUGUUUGGUAAGUCACGUAUCCUAAAAAUUUGAUUAUAAUUAUAUAAUUUUAAUUCAGGUUUCGGAUCGUGCGAUGAAUUAAAUGCUAUCAACGGUAUGUAUAAAACAAAAAAAUGUACGUUUUUAAGUAAAAUAUAGUGGACGGACUAAGAUCACUUGCUUAUUUGUUUUUUUUUUUUGUAUGAUAAAAACAGCUUCAAAUGAAUUUAGAACAUUGGUUUACAAAAAAUUUAGUAAAAGCCAUUACUAUUUUAUUUAAAAUUGAAUAUUUAAGAAAAUAUUAUAUUGAUCACGUUAUUUCAUAUAUUAUUAAUAAAAUACCUAUAAACUAAAUGGGGUAGAGAAAACACAUGUACCAUAUUAGAGUUAUAGGUACUUUUGCACGAUCCGUAAAUUCUCAAAGGAAUUAUUUAGCAGUCUCUCACACGGCAGAACUCAUUAAAUGCCAAGAAUCAUUAAAGAAUUUGGACAAUAUAAAUCUCACAAAGGUGUAUCGUUGACAAACAAGCACCUUUUUUUAUAUCACAAACAAAUUUUAAAUAUCAUUUUGACUAAUAUUUUAUGAAAGUUUAAUUUAAAAUUAUUUUAUUUACCUACCUAUUAAAUGUAUUAUAGACAUCGAUUACUAUAACAAACUAAAUUUUCUAAUUACUUAAUUUUAUUAUUUUAAUAUAAACGUAUAUACAUUUAUAUUUCUAUUGUCUAUUUAACAACAAUAUACUGUCAAAUAUUAGACAUGUUACAUAGCCUUGAAAUAAUGUAAUACCCUUAAGUUACAUUAAAAAUAAAUUCUCAAAAUUUCGACAUUUAUUCAUUGUUAGCGACAAACGUGACAUUGCAAAGCGACGCCAUAACACCAAAUAGUAGUCACACAUACGAGUUGCCGUACGUUGUCACACUAAUUCUUGUCACGUAAGCUAAACACACAUUAUACGGUCUGACAAUAUGAUAUUGUGAUACAUGUGACAUGACACAACGCGACGCAAAAACUUAAAAAAGCUUAUUAAGCCCUAAGGUUGCGCUCCUUCGUUGUAUUAAUUAACGUCACUCGACUGUUACUAGUUUCGUAAGUCGCUUUACGUCUUGCCGCUUACCUAAAACCUUACAAGACGCUGUAUUUCGCUAUACGGUUUUUUUUUAAUAAUUUAUAAAAUAAAUUAGAAACCCUUAGCGUCGCAAAAUAUAGCACUGGUAUUAUAGUAGUGACUCAAUGCAAUGUUUCAACAAAUAUUGCAGUGAAGCAACACGCAUAAGAGUAAAGUUAUGUACAGCGCAGCUUAUCACAAAAUGGCGGAGAUGAACUCGUUCAAAAUGGCCGCCCGUUCUGCGGUCGCUCUGGCAGCUUAGGCGGCACAGUUGGCACUGGUCGGCUAUUGACAUAUUAAAAGUAUUAUUUAUAAAACCACAUUAAAACAAUUAUUCUAAUCAAAUUCAUAUUCAUACAUAUGUAAAUACUGACAAAGUAAAAUAACGCAUAUCUAAUGUGCAUAUAAAAAGCAAUUUAGAAUUCACACGUAAUAAUGUAUGUGCAUAGUGCAUAUAACAUAAAAUACAUUAAUUCAAUCAAAAUAAUAUUUCAUUAGUCGUCGAUACAAUAUAAAUAAAAGACAUGCGUAAAGCUAGCUAAUAUUAAACUCCCAUAUAAAGACAGCACAAGCUUUUGUAGAAAAAAGCAUUUUAAGGCUUAUUUUAAUUGUUCUAUUCCGUUUAUAAUUUUGAAAAUAAAACGGAAAGACAAUAAACUAAUUUCGCUAAUGUAUGAGUUCUUCAUUUGAAUAUUUCAAUUUUGAAAAUACUUUAAAAACUAGAUUCAUAUUAUUUUCAAUAACGCAUUAUUAAUUUUUAAAGCAAUAUCAUUAGCAUGCACAAUAAAAAAAAAUUAACAUGCAUUAUUAUAUUUCAAUAAGAUCAAUAAUUAAAAUUUACCCCUUCAAUUGAAAGAACACAAAUUAUAUAACAGAUUAAUAAUAAUUUUAUACAAUACAAUAAUUAAUUAAUGUUAAAAGCAAUUACAAUUUUAGAAAAAUAGAUUUAAAAAGUUUUAAAAGCUCUCUCAAAUUCAUUUAUCUCAUUGAAAUAUAAGAAACAUACAAAUAUGGCUUACCUAAUAAAAAUUUCCAGGUAGUUAUUUUGUUUAAUUGUUCGUUAGCAGGAUAGCGUUAAUAUCAUAAACACCUACUUGGACCAAAUCAAACUUCUUGAGUACACAUAUAGCAUUUAAUUACUCUAUUUAUACAGCAUAAGAUUAACAAUAUUCAUAAACUAUAUCAAAUCCAACAAUCACUGGCUAAACCUUUUUUUUCGAUGGUACUAACGCUAUUAACAAGAGAGCAAAACUUUAUGAUUCGUUUAAUUCAUAUAAUUUUGUCAAUAUUAAUAAGAGUAAUGAAUCAGCUAGAGAGUGAAAUCAUGUAGGAACUGUAUAAUGACAUUUAUCCGACUAUCCGUCAGUCAGUUUUGUUAGAAAAAUAAUAUUUGAACCGACGCCUUCCGGUAACCAUCGGAGGAAACCAAGUUUCGAUUUGGACAAAACUGUGUAGUUAAUCAACGUUAAAGUAUUGGUCGAAUAUUAUAUGAUACAAGCAGAACUCUACGUGAUAAUUUUCAAGAUUAAAAUUCCUUUAGUUUAUAUGUAAUAAGUAUUUAAUAACGAUUUCAUAAUGUUAUCACCAUGAAUAAAACAUUCUAAUAAUUGACCAAAGAUAUUGCUAACAGCAACGACACGAUACAACUGCUUUGGUCUUAGCCAUAAGUACAAAUAAUUUACAUACAAAUUUUGUAAAGUCAACAUAUUUAUGAUUAAUUCAUACAACUGCAUUAGAUAUCGGCUAGAAUUAGAUUAUACUGAUCCAAAUAUUUUAAUAUACAAUAACAGACAAGCUGGAUAAUAUCGUUUGCACAAAUACAUUAACUUUAUAUACGUUACGUCACUACGAGAGACGGAAAAAGAGAAAUAUCGGGACAGCGUUCGUCCCUAAGCUACUUGUACACCUAGACACCGAUGUGCGAACGUAACGCAUUCCUGCUAGGCAGCUAAAACUACGACAAGAUCGCAUGUGCAGCAACAUCAACAAAUAUAUUAGUUAUUUCUUAGAUAUUCACGACUCUAUUACGAUAUUGAAAUAAAACUAUUUUCAAUUAAUUUUAAUUUUUCUUUUCUAUCUUGUAUUAUAAUAAUUGCAAUACCGAUGACGGCUCGUUGUCAAACUAUGAACGAUAUAAUGUCAAUGCAAUAAAUUAGAAUAGUUUUAUUUAAAUAGUUUUAUUUCUAGUCUUUUAUAAUUACGAGUAAAACUCUAGCAAAAUUUACAAAACAAUACCGUGAUAUGCUUUCAAGAUCUGUUGCUUUCCCGGACGACGUGAAGUCGUGCAAACAAACUCAACUAUUUAAAUCCAAUACAAGACAAACGCUUCAAGCCUUGGGUGUGUCUUUGCUAUUAACUUCACAAAAUCGAUUUACACAAACCCCGCUAAAGUACGGGCCCCUUAAAUACAAUCCAAUAAAGGAUCAACAUCGUAUAUUUUGUAAUAAUACCCUAAAGUACUGCACACUAGAGUAAUUCGCAAGUUAAUACUGAAUUUUUUACAUUUUAAUGUAUAGAAUUAUUCUCAAAAAAUAUUUGGCGUCGGAAUAAAUAAUAUUAUAGGAAUAAAUAAGAACUGCAAUUCACAAACAUCUAUUCCAUACCUUUGAAACUAAAAUAAUAUAUCCAAAGGGAACAAUUAAUUACAGGAAAUCUGUAUUCCUUUGUGUUUGUAUCUUAUUAAAGUACACUAUAUCUACGUAAAUACAUUGUGCACGUUAAAAUUUCUAACAAAAAAAAAAAAAUAUUCGAAGUUCCGUAAUACUUAAUCUCGCACAAUAGUUGCCAAUUAAGUGUGUGAUCUUCAAACAAUUCAUUUUCACAAUGAGUAUAUGUUAAUUAUAUUUCACCCUCGAUACCAUUUUAAAUAUAGCACUUCUACGACUAUGGUAACAUUGUGAUUAUUGAUAUCACAUUUAAAUAGAUUGAAAAAACAUAUAAUUAAACUAAAUUACUAUCUUACAAAUAUGCCUUAUUAGGUGACAAUUAAAAAUAGUAUGUUUUGCUUUUCAAUCAAAAAAGCUUUAAAUUUAACAUUUACAACGGUAAUUCUUGAAAUGUUAAAACAUUAGAAGCACACUUCAUUAAUACAAAGAAUACGUUGCGUAAAGCUAAACAUUCACAUUUGCAGUUUUAUACAAUUGUUGAAGCAAAUUGAAUUUUCAGCUUAGUUAAGCACUAAGCUAAAAAUUCAAACACACGUAUAAAACACGAAGCUGUUAGAUGAACAAAACAGUCAAUAUGUUAGAAGAUAAAACGCUUCAAACAUGAGACAAGCGGUUCACAUUCAACAGGUACCGUCGUUUCGUCAACCUCAUAAUGUCCAUAACGUUCUUCGCGAAAAAAAAUCAGCAUUUAGACUCGUGACGUUACAGAAAGGCGGUCGUUUGAACAACCUUAAUGUGACGUCACAAAACCGCAGCGCUAAAAGAGCGAAACGAAUUAGAGUCUUGACGUCACAAGUCACACGCGCGUCGCGGAAGCAGAAUUCGGGUCGUGACGUCACAAUACAGAGCAAACGGACGUGACGACGGAACCAUCGCGCAAGCGAACCGAGUCGGGUCGUGACGUCACACGUCAGACAAGCGUGGUCUGUUUACUUGAAUCUGGCGAAGGCGGAGCUGAGCUCGUUGACGGCGGCGUUGGUGACGGCCUGGCCCACCGCCUGGUGGAGCUGCUGGCGCACGUGCGGCGGCAGCUGGCCCAGCGCGCCCGCCGCCGCCGACGCCGCGGGGCCCGGCCGGCUAGUUCAGUGGCACACUUUACCGCACACGCACUACUCCACAUACGAAUGUUAACGCUGAGACCAUAGUGAUGCGUUUCACGGCUGUCAUUGAAUAUUCGGUAAGCUAGCGUGAUAUUUUUCACCACUGUCAUUCUUUAUUUGUUACGUUAACAAAUUUUAUUUCAUAAAUAUUGAUAAUGGCAGAAAAUUACGAUUAUAACAUAUGCAUUUCCAUGCCACAAGUAAAGUUUGAAAAUUUAAUAAUAUCAUUUAUCUUAAGCAUUUUUUAAAAGAGAGAGUUUAUUAAAAUUAUAUGAAGUAAAUAAGUAAGAAACCUAAGUAGGUUUCUUACUACCACAAGACAUAAUUUACCGUUAAAUUUGCCGCAUCAUAUGUUCAGGCUUAACUUCCGUAUGACGUAAUAACAUAAAAUAAAAUACACCGAACUUAAAAAUAGAGUUGAAGAAAAAAAAUACUUAAGACUCACAGCUUCUCUGUAAGUUUCCUCUGAGUAAUGUAACUGCCAUAAUGAAACGUAACGGAAGAAAAAAAGAAACGAAGCCAAGUCAUUUACAAGUCCUUACAGGGCAACUGUGAAUAACACAAAGUCAUUAUACCGAUUAACCCAAAAAGUAUGAAGUAUAUAGCACCGAUAGUAAGAAAAGUGUGAACUUAUAAAAAAUAUAAUAAUUAAUAUACUAAUGUUUUUACUACUUACUUUAAUGUUGUUUCUAGUUACUUUUGCUUUGUCAUGAGUGGACAUCAUGUCCGCGAUAACUUAACAACUAGUAAAUAUUUAUCAAUUUAGAAGACAUCUGAAGACCACACACAUUAGUGACAACUAAACAUGCAGUGCAUAUUGUAUACAGCCUUUCGAUGAACACGCAACCUUAUAAUUACGAAAAAAAAGCCACAAUUACAGAUUAAAUAACUUGUUUGUGAACCAAAAUAAUAUUAUCCUUUGCGUACAGAUGUUAAUAGAAUAAAAAAGUUUCAAUUUAACUCUACCAGACUUAUGUACUUCAUCUUACAAGGGAUUUUAUGCCACGCGUACAUGAAAAAUGAAUACUAUAGCAGGGAUGGCCAAGGUCCUUGAUAGUCCGAACCAUUUAUCAAAAUUUUAAAUUUUUUGCGAGUCCCAAUUAAGUACGAACAUAUUCAAAAGGUAUGCAAAAAAUGUAUUAAAAUU
rnacentral:misc_RNA from 1 species